rnacentral:rRNA from 1 species
UACGGAGGGGGCUAGCGUUGUUCGGAAUUACUGGGCGUAAAGCGCGCGUAGGCGGACCUGCAAGUCGGGGGUGAAAGCCCGAGGCUCAACCUCGGAACUGCCUUCGAUACUGCGGGUCUCGAGUCCGGGAGAGGUGAGUGGAAUUCCUAGUGUAGAGGUGAAAUUCGUAGAUAUUAGGAAGAACACCAGUGGCGAAGGCGGCUCACUGGCCCGGUACUGACGCUGAGGUGCGAGAGCGUGGGGAGCGAACCGG